UUCCUCACAGUUUUGUGCAAAGUCGGGUCAACUUGGUUGGCUCUGCCUUGUGCUGUAGAUCUGGUUGUUGGCAUAGAGACCCUCCUUUUAGGAGACUUGUGCCACUACUAAGAUCUAGGCUGCUUGAAAAGAGACGUAUGGACCCUUCUUUCAGGAGACCUAUGUCUCGAGUCAAAGCAAGCAAGGCAAGCCUUUGGGGCUCUAGUACUAACUAUCCCCAAAGGUGUUUAUUCUUCUCGUGUAAACCAUGAUGUACGAAAAAGUUAGUUGUUAACUUAAAAACAACUCUUGGCAAUGGAUCUCUUGGUUCUCGCAUCGAUGAAGAGCGUAGCAAAGUGCGAUAAUUAUUGCGACUUGCAUUCAUAGCGAAUCAUCGAGUUCUCGAACGCAUCUUGCGCCUAGUAGUCAAUCUACUAGGCACAGUUGUUUCAGUAUCUGCAACUACCAAUCAGUUCAACUUGGUUCUUUGAACCUAAGCGAGCUGGAAAUGGGCUUGUGUUGAUGGCAUUCAGUUGCUGUCAUGGCCUUAAAUACAUUUAGUCCUAGGCAAUUGGCUUUAGUCAUUUGCCGGAUGUAGACUCUAGAGUGCCUGAGGAGCAACGACUUGGUUAGUGAGUUCAUAAUUCCAAGUCAAUCAGUCUCUUCUUGAACUAGGUCUUAAUCUUUACGGACUAGCGAGAGGAUCUAACUUGGGUCUUCUCUUUAAACAAACUCACAUCUAGAUCUGAAAUCAACUGAGAUCACCCGCUGAACUUAAGCAU
rnacentral:rRNA from 1 species